GAUGAACGCUGGCGGCGUGCCUAAUACAUGCAAGUCGAGCGAACGGACGAGAAGCUUGCUUCUCUGAUGUUAGCGGCGGACGGGUGAGUAACACGUGGAUAACCUACCUAUAAGACUGGGAUAACUUCGGGAAACCGGAGCUAAUACCGGAUAAUAUUUUGAACCGCAUGGUUCAAAAGUGAAAGACGGUCUUGCUGUCACUUCUAGAUGGAUCCGCGCUGCAUUAGCUAGUUGGCAAGGUAACGGCUUACCAAGGCAACGAUGCAUAGCCGACCUGAGAGGGUGAUCGGCCACACUGGAACUGAGACACGGUCCUGACUCCUACGGGAGGCAGCAGUAGGGAAUCUUCCGUAAUGUGCGAAAGCCUGACGGAGCAACGCCGCGUGAGUGAUGAAAGUCUGCGGAUCGUAAAACUCUGUUAUUAGGGAAGAACAUAUGUGUAAGUAACUGUGCACAUCUUGACGGUACCUAAACAGAAAGCCACGGCUAACUACGU
rnacentral:rRNA from 1 species